AGACCUCUGCUGAAGGUGAAGACCUCCUAACGAGCCAGACAGCCUUAACAGGAACUCAGAAGUCUUACACCAAGAGUCCUCUGGAGCAUUACAUUCCCCUGUUUGGAGUGUGGACAAGAGUUUGGCAUUCUGCUUUUACAGAUCACUGCCGCUCGCUCCUGGAGCGCAGGGGGACGGCCAGACUCCCACAUCUUUCAGCGAGAAGAAAGGAGCCAGCGGAGCGGACUAAUACGGACUUGUGUCGGGUACCCUUGCCCUACAAAGGCUGCCUUUAAAAGAGAAACGCAGUGCUAUUUAAUGAGCUGUGAGAUGAGGCACUGCUGCUAACACUCAGAUCCCAGGAUUCAUCGGCUAUUCAUUGUGCUUAAUGUACAUGUUUCUGCACCGUGCAUUUAGGAGAUCCCAGAGAAGAAUCCAAAACGGCUG
rnacentral:lncRNA from 1 species